rnacentral:lncRNA from 1 species
AUGUAUCCACAGCUCCUGUUACCUGGUUGGCAUGAGGAGAAGCUAAAUCCUCUGAGUGAGCUCCUGAGUCACCUAUGUGUCGACCUUAGCUUUCUGACUGUAAUGGUUUCUUGUGCCCCUUGCCUGUGGUCAGGAGGGGAAAAAACCUCCAGGGACUUGAGGCUGGAGGUGUGGAGCAACCAAUUUGAGGCCUUGAAGGAAUGUUCCCCAGUAAAGAUAAGGAAGCAGAAGAACAUUCUAUCUAAGAGGCUGGGCAUCUUCCACUGGCUUCAGAGGCUGAAUCUGGGACCAAUAAAUGGAAACUUCAGUAAAGAAGGCCGGGGAAGCUGUGACUUUCUAACAUUUAAGUAGGACAUGGAGAGUGUUUUAAAGUAAGUUUCCAAAGACGGGACAGGACUGUAUUCCUGGUGGUGGCUGCCAGGGAACAUGCGUUGUGGAGAAGGAUGACUUUGACAAAUAUAUGGAACAGUAUGAAGGGGCCAAGUUUCUGUUCCA